CGGGGCGUAGCGCAGUCUGGUAGCGCACUUGUCUGGGGGACAAGUGGUCGCUGGUUCAAAUCCAGCCGUUCCGA
rnacentral:tRNA from 1 species